CUAAAUCAUAUCACCACUCUCUCUCUCUCUCUCACAAAAACCAUUCUUCUUCUUCUUCUGCCUUCAUUUCAAUCCUCUAAAGUAAAAACAUCGUCUUCAUUUCUUCGUCCUCUACAAAACCCAUUUGCUUUGCACCACUGUCGUUGACCACCGCGUCGGAAACAUUUUCAUCACCGCCGCCGCUGAAUCCGUCAACUCCGAUGGAGAUAAAUUAAUGAUGUCGGUGUUAUUUUCUUCGCUAAAACCAUCACCGCGGUUAGGGUUUCACUUCCCUCCUUACAAAAACGAAAACCCAGAUAAAAAAAAAACGAAAAAGAUUUCAAAUUUACGAAAUUCGUCGACGACAGCGGAUAGCGGAGAAAAUCGUUGAUGAUGGUUAGCGAACAACAGAAAAGAAGGAUGAUUGCAGCAGUGAAGAUUCCGCCGACAUGGUUCAAUCUUUUCACAGGCUGACAAGAUUCAUGCUACCGUAAGGAAGUCUCUGGUGAAAAGUUUUCAGGCCAAGAUAAGUGAGAGAUCACAGUACGAGCUAGAACAAAUCAUGAUUGGUUUCAAUGAAGGUCCUUUCAAGCUAACAAGGCAUAAAUAUAAAAUUACCAUGAUGCAGAACUCUAGUGGAUAAAAAUCCAGAAUGAGCCUAAUAUACCACUGAACAGUUUUGAUUUUGAAUCUUUUGAAUCAAUCCUGGCUUCAACAGUUGAGGAAAAGAUAGUUGAUGUGAUUGGUCACAUAGUUGAAAAGGAUGCGCUGAGGGAGACAGAAAAAAAUGGCUGGAAGAGCAGGGUCAUUGAUCUUACUCUCGAGGAUCUUGAAAAUCGUCGAGUUCAUUGCUCCUUGUGGGGUAAUUACGCUGAUAAGUUCUUGCAGUAUAUGGAGGGCCAUGACAUGUCAACGCCAUCUAUCUUAAUGCAGUACUGCAAGCAACGGAAAUACUUGAGUGUAGAUUGAUCUGAGUAUGAUGGAAGUUUCAAAUUCCUUUUUUGGAACAAAAUUGAUCAUUAACGGGGAUUAUCCUGAAUUUGCUGAUUACAAAUCUAAGAUGCGAAAUGCAGAAAUUCGUGUGACACAUGGUGUUAGUAGUAUAUCUGGACAUAAUUUUGUUCCUUUGAGCAAUGAUCUUCUCAACACUAGGAGGGAUGUAGAUUGAGGACCUUAUUGAAGCUAACGAGGUGUGAAUCGGAGUAAUGAAGCACAAUAUGAAGAUGAUAGUUUCCGCUAAUGUAAAAUGGCUUGGAGCAAGAUAAUAACGCAAUGAACAUGGUAGCUUAAUGUUGGAGAUGAAAAGAAGACUGAGUUUUGAUGAAGUAAAAGCCUUACAAAAGAGCUUUAAGUUGAACAAGCUAGAUCAAACGUGAUAUUAGAGAUUUUGAUGUUUUUAAGUUAGAGUAUAGUAAUAUCAAUCACUUUGAUUGCACAAAUAAAUAACCCAUUUAAAAUCCUUUUUAUUUUCUUCAAGGAAACCCACUUGAAAUGCAUUAGUUAUGUGAUAAUCUGUAACUACAUUUACUACAUCAAUAUGGUAUAUACAUGGCGGUAUCAUGAUAAGUAAAAUCAUGGAUUAAAUGAUCACAUUGAAACUAGAAUUCUGACA